GUCGCGUCGUGAGAUCUGUUUCGUUCUCGAAUAACUAUUUGUUUAGCGUGGACCGCGAAAUAAUCAGCGAACUAGAUGUAAUUCGGUGGAUUUAAAUUCCAACACUGUGUUGAGAUGACAACUUUUUGAAACAUGUGCUGAAAAAGAAGGUUUGGUCCCGCUUUGUUGGGGAAAUGUGACGAAAUGUGGAACCCUUUUGUGGGAAAUAAUGGAAUGAUUUGAUCAAGACCGUGAUACAGCUGCUCAUUAAGGUGCUCGAAGUCAAGUUGUCUCUGGAAAGAUUAACAUCGAAGUUUAACCAUGGCAAAAGAUCAGGAAUUACUUCAGGCGGUAAAAGCAAACGAUCUUAACGCAUUCAGGAAGAUAGCAGCGAAAAUAAAAGCGGCCAAAUCAAAAAAAGGUGGCAAGAAAUACAGUGUAAAUAUUCAAGAUGAAGAAGGAUUCACACCCACUCACCAUGCAUGUCUUAUAGGCAGCAGUGAAAUUGUCAUAGCACUCAUUGAGUUGGAAUGUGAUGUCAAUGCCAAAGAUAAGAAAGGAAUGACUCCCUUGCAUUUAGCUGCCUGGUCAGGAAAAGUGGAAGUAGCAAGGUUGUUGUUAGAGGCUGGAGCAGAAGUCAACAGUUGUUCACAAAAUGGAGACACACCUCUUAUUUUAGCCUGUCAGCAUGGAAACUCUGAUGUGGCUGAUGUGCUUUUAGACAGGAACUGUAGUACAAUGACAGUUAAUAACAAUGGAGAGGCAGCUUUGGACCUUGCCUGCAGAUUUGGACAUGUUCAUGUUGUUGAACUGUUGCUUAACACCAAAGAGGUGAGGAGUGCAUUGGCCACUGGUGCAGUGCGUAAAACUGAUCCACCAUUGCAUGCAGCUUCAAAGACAGGUCACGUAGAAAUAGUCAGAAUGUUAUUAGAAGCUGAUGCAGAUAUCAAUCAAGUUACCAGUAAUGGUUCAUGCUUACAUGAAGCAGCUCUCUAUGGUAAAACAGAUGUGGUCAACAUGCUCCUUGAUUGGGGUAUCAAUGCAGAUAUACGAAAUGAUGAAGGACACACGGCACUUGAUAUGGUUAAUCUUUUCACGAGUUCAAAAGCAUCAACAGCAAUUAAAAAACUGUUAAAAGACGCAGCUUCUGCAGAUAGCACUGUGUAUGCCAAAGCCGUCAGGGAUCAUUUCAACGUGAUGGACUCAACAGCCCUUCCGUUCAAGACUGGAGAAACAAUCAUCGUGCUUGAACAAAACCAGAAUGACCGAUGGAAAGGGAAAAUAAAGAGUGGAGAUAGGGAAAAUAUUGGAUACUUCCCUGCUAACUUUGUGAGGAUUACUGCCCUAAGAAGAGGCUCCAAUGCCAAGAAGUCACCGAAUCGUAAAGAAGCUGGUGUAGUACCGACGGGAUCUUACGACAUGAUCGCACUACCAUCAGUUCCACCCUCUCCUGGUUUUCAAAGAAACUCUCCUCGACUAAAAAGUUUUGGUAAAAAAGAUCACCGCUCUCGAGGUGAUCAAGACGUGGAAUCUGAUAAGGUGCUGGUGGAACCAAUUUUACCUUUCAAAGGAGUCAAAGCUCAAAAAGGAUCAGUUAAAAUGGCAGCUGAUCCAGGCCUGCAGUAUGUGGAGGUUGCGGUUGACAAACCUCCCUCGUCUCCUCCUCAGGCCUUUAUAGCGGGUAACAAAUUGAACAACAAAACGAAUUACGCUGAGGUUCGUUUACCAUCAUCAAAUGGAUUAGUGGAAGAAGUCAAUGAAAGCGAUGAGGCGCCACAGCUACCAGAUAAAGAAAAUAAAACAGCAAGUACCGCAAACGAGAUGGAAGAUAUCUGGGUUCGAAACACGUCUACUCCCCCGCCUUCUUUGCCACCUAAAAUAAGGGAACUUGCAAAAGGCGCAGCUCCUAUUGCUGCAUGCGAUUCGAUCGAGCCAGGUGCUAAAUCAGGAAGGCCUCCUGCGUCUCUGCCACAUCCCGCGGGACAAUCACGUGCAGAGGGUCCGCAUCAUGCGAGCGGUACGGGUCUUGAUACUGGUCAGCCUGCGCGGCGGGUCGCAACUCCCGAAUUGUCGCGGAAAGGAUACGAGGACAUGAGUUUAACUCCAGCGUCUGGGGGUCGAGCGACACCACCUAGUGAAGACAUAUGGAAACUUCAACCCCAUGAUAUUAGAGAACAUCCUCCGAAGCAAGGGCUUGCUUACGAGAACGUGCAACUGACGCACAGAGCGAAGCCGCCUUGUGAUAUGCAAAGCAUGUUGAUCUGUGAUGUCGACCAACCAGUGGGAGUAGGUGUGGGGGCGGACGGUUAUGUAGUUGUUAAUGGACCUUCUUCACAAACAACAAAUUCCAAAGGCUACGAAAAUGUUGCGUCAAAUGCGCCCAAACCAGUUGGACCCGAGUACGCGAACAUUUCGAAUAAAGUAGCUUACCUGGCUAUGACGGGCGGUAUGUCUGCUGACUCGACAUCAACCAGAACAAGUAAACAGGCUCCAGAUGACGACAAUGAAGACUCAGAUAAUGAUGAGGGUAAAGAUGGAAUGGAUUAUGAGCUGAUGAACAGCCGCCCUGUUCCAGUGAACCAUCAGUACGUUAAUAUCGACCGACAAGGAGACGUAGGCAGUCCCGCGCAAGCUACGGGUCAUCUCCAACUCAAGAUGCGAGACUAUAACGCGUUAUUUGACUGGCUAGAGAAGUUUAAAUUAACGAUCUACAUCGAUAAUUUUGUAAAAGGUGGAUUCGAUAUGACAAGUGUUCAUGGAAUCACAGCGGAGGAUUUGACGGCCAUAAAUGUGAAUAAAACUGGGCACAGGAAAAGAAUUAUGUCGGAGUCCGCAAAACUAGAGGAGACAACGGUGUUCCCGAAGGAAAAACCGGAGGAUAUUAUGACGUGGCUACGUCUGAUUGGUUUGGAGCAGUACAUACCUGAGUUCAUGGACGGCGGUUUCGACGACAUGGAUUUUCUUCAGGACAUGACGGUAGAGGACCUUGUGGCCAUCGGAGUCAAGAGACCAGGCCAUCAGAGGAAGAUUUGGAUGGCUGUUAACGCUCUGAAACAUGGAGAUGAAAAUGAAAACAUGCUGGAAAGCGUAGAAGAGGAAUUAAGACCGCAGGAUAGGAAAGGUUAUUUAGAGACCUGUUUAGAUGGAGAGGACUCGGGCGUGUCAACAGAUGACGUGGAGGCGUCUGAAAUGAGUACAGAGGAAAACCCAGGGAAUUCUUCUCCUUCUUCUCUUGCAACAAGAGAAAAUACUAUCGAGGAACCGUUUGUGAAGGAUUCUUUGUCAGCAGAGUCUGAAAUUCCUGCAAUAUCAGCAGUUCAGCCUGUGGUAAAGGAGGAAAAAGAAAUUGUUGAUGCAGAACGAGAUCAACAAAGAACUCCUGUUCCGGACGAACCUUGUUCUAAUGCCGAUUUGUCACAAUUGAAAGGAAAGGACAGCGUGGAAAACGAAGUGGACUCAUUGAGUUUACAUGUACAAAAUGUAAUUUCAUUUCCUGACAGUGAUGAUGACGAGCCACCUCCCCGCCCUCCCCCUCCAAUGGAGGACAUUGACUUGUGUCUACCUACCGCUGAUCUGAAUCAACAUGAAUUUGAAUUAAAUGGCCCUAGUAGGUCCGUUAAAGACUUGGUGUCUAAAGGGAAUAGUAGAGCACGUUCCUUUCCGUUAGACCCCAUUUUCCAGAGACCCAAGAAACCUGCGCCACCUCCUGUCAAACCUAAAAUUGCGAAGAAGCCGCCGCCUCCGAAAGUGCUACCCAAACCUCGAAAGGCUGCAUCCUUCACGGCAGGAUAUGGGGACAAGAGCUCGGGCGAGGAAAGCAUGGGAGACAGAUCACCAACAAAACCCACAUCACCUGAGCCCCGACGCAGCAGCACUGGUUCCAGUCCCUACAACUGGCCAACGCCUCCCUGCACUCGACAGACCGAAGGCGGAAAUGGAAGCGUACGAUCGUGCGGCAGUAGCAACAGCAGCCAUAGCUCAGUGGACUCUUUGAUCGAAGAGAUUGAAGAAAGAAAAAAGGGCUUUGAAAAACCAGGCAGGAAAAUCAGCGCUGCUGAGCGAUUGAACACAUCACAUGAGUGUACGGAUGGAGCUCGAGAGAGCCAAGCGGAUGCAGCGAGAGUAGAUAGUAACCUUAAUGAACAAAUCAAACAGAUCCUAAGAAAUCGUUCUGGGGAAGAUCUCUCAAAACCACCAAUCUCAGAAUCAUCUGAAUCAUCUUUAACUAUGCAACAUGUUGACAUAAAAACCGAAUCUUCGAACACGAAAACAAACACGAAGGAGCAGGAAUUGGCUGAAGAUCUUAUGAAGGACAUCAACAGUAUGCUGAGUGAUUUCUCUUCUGAGCUGGAUUCCAUGUUCGAUUGAGCAUCAAUUUGUAUUUUAUCAACAACAUGAUGAAAAGGAUUGUUAAGAUUUCCUAGAUACAAUGUGUUCUGGUGUCAAGUCAAUUCAUCUCAUUACUUUACUUUUGGUAUUUUGGUAGCUUGUCCCAUGCGAAAUUGAUUAUACUGUAAAGUAGUUUUGUUAUUUUUCCUAUAUUUCAAAGAAUAUAUUUUUUAUAUCAUUUAAUUCUGUUCUUGAGAGCUGCAGCUUCUUGAUAGUGCAUAUUUAUUUUUGAUAGUCUUUAAUAUAAAAUCGGUUUUUUUCUGGGUAUUUUUAUGGGUCACACGUUUUAAUUGCCAUCUUUAGCAGUUUUUUUUUUUAAUCAUCCAAAUAUUAUUAAGCCAGAAAAUUGGUUUAUUAAUCUUGCGAUUCACGUUUCAUUAGUUUGUAGCAUGUUUGGAGCAAUUUUCAAGGGAAUGCCAAAUUAGUUAUUUUCUCUUGCUGCCAUUGAUCAGAACCACAAAACUGAAACGAGGUAUUUAUAUUAUAGGAAUGUUAUCUUAUUAAAUUUUGAGCUGCAACGUUUAGUCCCUGAUUGAAAUCGAAUCCUAAGAAUCUUUGGGUGGAGCCUUUGACUUUGGUCUUAGAAAUGAAUUUUUUUUUCCGAAAUUUCAAUCAAAAGGAUCUUAAUGUGCUAAAAAUAUACCCCAAGGAAACAUGUUGUAACUGACUUUAUGUGUUAUGUUAUCGCUAGUAUUGACAUUGACUGUGACUGUAUACAAGCUCUGAUAGUCGUUCAUGAUAGGAUAUUAAAAUAGACAACAAUUUAGUACAUAUUAUAUAAACAAAUUUGAAUUGGAAGUAUUUUUUUAUUGUGCUUAGAGGCUCGAUAGGCGAAUAAGUCUUUUUUUGAUAGAAGUUAUCUAUGGUAACACAGAGGUGGUGUAAGUAUUUUGAAAGAAGUGCACCCUUCUAGAUUUCAGUACGCCAUUUACAUGCUACGAAUUCAAGUUAAAGUUAUUUUUUAACUCGAUCUGUGAAAUAAACAGAUAUAUAUGUAAAGUG
rnacentral:misc_RNA from 1 species